GGAGGCUGCUUCCACAUAUUUUGGGCAUUAUGGAAGACUAGUGAUUUUGUUGUUGUGACGUCAUCAGUACUGACAACAAGUCACAGUCUGCCUCAGUGACCAGAAUCCACUCGUCAUGCACUUUU
rnacentral:pre_miRNA from 8 species